rnacentral:rRNA from 1 species
CAACCUGAGAGUUUGAUCCUGGCUCAGAGCGAACGCUGGCGGCAGGCCUAACACAUGCAAGUCGAACGAACUCUUCGGAGUUAGUGGCGGACGGGUGAGUAACACGUGGGAACGUGCCUUUAGGUUCGGAAUAAGCCCGGGAAACUGGGUCUAAUACCGAAUGUGCCCUUCGGGGGAAAGAUUUAUCGCCUUUAGAGCGGCCCGCGUCUGAUUAGCUAGUUGGUGGGGUAAUGGCCCACCAAGGCUACGAUCAGUAGCUGGUCUGAGAGGAUGACCAGCCACAUUGGGACUGAGACACGGCCCAAACUCCUACGGGAGGCAGCAGUGGGGAAUCUUGCGCAAUGGGCG